GAUGAACGCUGGCGGCGUGCCUAAUACAUGCAAGUCGAGCGAACAGACGAGGAGCUUGCUCCUCUGACGUUAGCGGCGGACGGGUGAGUAACACAUGGAUAACCUACCUAUAAGACUGGGAUAACUUCGGGAAACCGGAGCUAAUACCGGAUAAUAUAUUGAACCGCAUGGUUCAAUAGUGAAAGACGGUUUCGCUGUCACUUAUAGAUGGAUCCGCGCCGCAUUAGCUAGUUGGUAAGGUAACGGCUUACCAAGGCAACGAUGCGUAGCCGACCUGAGAGGGUGAUCGGCCACACUGGAACUGAGACACGGUCCAGACUCCUACGGGAGGCAGCAGUAGGGAAUCUUCCGCAAUGGGCGAAAGCCUGACGGAGCAACGCCGCGUGAGUGAUGAAGGUCUUCGGAUCGUAAAACUCUGUUAUUAGGGAAGAACAAAUGUGUAAGUAACUAUGCACGUCUUGACGGUACCUAAUCAGAAAGCCACGGCUAACUACGUG
rnacentral:rRNA from 1 species